GAUGAACGCUGGCGGCGUGCUUAACACAUGCAAGUCGAACGAAGCACUUUACUACGAUUUCUUCGGAAUGACGGUUUUGUGACUGAGUGGCGGACGGGUGAGUAACGCGUGGAUAACCUGCCUCAUACAGGGGGAUAACAGCCGGAAACGGCUGCUAAUACCGCAUAAGCGCACGGUACCGCAUGGUACAGUGUGAAAAACUCCGGUGGUAUGGGAUGGAUCCGCGUCUGAUUAGCCAGUUGGCGGGGUAACGGCCCACCAAAGCGACGAUCAGUAGCCGACCUGAGAGGGCGUACGGCCACAUUGGGACUGAGACACGGCCCAGACUCCUACGGGAGGCAGCAGUAGGGAAUAUUGCACAAUGGAGGAAACUCUGAUGCAGCCAUGCCGCGUGUGUGAAGAAGGCCUUCGGGUUGUAAAGCACUUCGGUAGGGGAGGAAAGAUGACGUUACCCUCAGAAGAAGCACCGGCUAACUACCGUGCC
rnacentral:rRNA from 1 species